AUUGAACGCUGGCGGCAGGCCUAACACAUGCAAGUCGAGCGGAUGAGUGGAGCUUGCUCCAUGAUUCAGCGGCGGACGGGUGAGUAAUAUAUCGGAACGUGCCCAGUCGUGGGGGAUAACUGCUCGAAAGAGCAGCUAAUACCGCAUACGACCUGAGGGUGAAAGCGGGGGAUCGCAAGACCUCGCGCGAUUGGAGCGGC
rnacentral:rRNA from 1 species